CUAUAAAUAUUUAUUUGUUUUCUUGUCAAAGUUUAAAGGAAUAACAGUUACACUGAGAUUUUUGGUUUGAUAUUAGUAGCAUUUAGAGAGUUUCUCUUUGUUUUCUUGAAAAGUUAUUACAAUAGACAUAGUUCCUGUAUUCCAUUAUUUUGAACCAGCCUCCAAAUUUCGGUUUGAUUCAGCAAAUUUCGGCAGUCUGGUUGGGACAUUCUUACUCUUUAUUCUUUUGAGCAUACACGCAACCCAAAGUGCAUCAUUCCUGUUAAACCAGAAAGUUUGAAGCACAUCAUCAUGGGAAUAAGAUUCCAUAGCUGCUUUUAUAUUUUAAAGAACCUUUGAUCAUUCACAUAUAUUUCUUGUUUUCCUGUUAUUAUUUUAUUUUCCCUUGUAAAGCAUGCACUGAGCUACCAAAAUGUUUGAUAGAGAUUGGUUUAGUUGAUCAUGAAUUCCAUUGGGUUAUCCGGAAAAAAAAAAAGGACACAUAUAUAGGAAUGAGGAAUAGUAAAUAUAAUUCCACUCAAAGUUGCUCAAGAAAUAAUUUUAGAUCUGUUAUAAUGCAAAUGCUGUAGCAAAAAAGAAUCCUUUGUGCUAUUGCAAGUAUAAAGUCUUAUGAGCACCCUCAUUCUAAAAUUAUGCAAGUAUAUUAGUAAAAUAUACUGUCAAACAACUCCCACUCGCAUAUAGGCUUGGAUUUUAAAUUGAAAGUUUUUUGUCCUUGACAACUAAUUGUUUUCUUGAGAUGACUUGUGGGUAUUCUCACACAAAAGUUAGCUAUGGUAAUUUCAUUAUGUAUUUGUUCUUUCAUGGCUGCAGUUUUCCAACAUAUUAGCACUUCCAGAUGAAAAAGGCUGAUAAAAUGAAAUUAUUGCAGAUGAGGAAGAUCAUAUCAUAGCUGCGGCCCAUGCAGUUCAUGGAAAUAAAUGGGCAGUAAUUGCAAGACUUCUACCAGGUAGAACAGAUAAUGCUAUUAAGAACCAUUGGAAUUCUACUCUAAGACGGAGAAGCACAGAGCGUGAGAGGUUAAGGUUGGCGUCUGGAAAUGUGGACCAAGAUGCUACCUUGGACAAAGCCAAAGCAUCAUCUGAAGAAACUCUGUCUUGUGGGGAUGCAAAUUCAUUUAAAUCUUUUGAAGGAAAAGACGGAAGCUCUUUGGAUAAUAUGAAUGAUCAGUGUGAAGAAAAAGCACCAUUAGAGGUUCCAUCAAAUAAUGAAGCAAAAGAAUCAUCUACGCUUUUCCGUCCCAGGGCACGUGUUAGUGCAUUCAGUGUUUAUAAUCCUGUGGACGGCCCAGAAAUUGCUUCACCGUGUUCAAGGCCAGUUCCAAUGGUAGGACCUUUGAUUCAAGCUUCAAUACCAGAUGAUGGAAUUUGCAAAUUGCUUGAUGGGAUUUACAAUGAGCGGUUGGUUCCUCAGCAGUGUGGCCAUGGCUGUUGUGAGGCCCAAAAUGGUAAUAAUCCUCGGAAUUCUUUGUUGGGUCCAGAAUUUGUGGAUUUCCUAGAUCCCCCAUCUUUUCCAAGUUUUGAGUUGGCUGCCAUAGCAACAGAUAUAAGUAACCUUGCUUGGCUCAAAAGUGGAUUGGAGAAUAACAGUGUCAGAGUCAUGGGUGACACUGCUGGCAGAAUAGCACCCUAUGGAUCUCAAGCGCAAAUGGGGCAUCUUUAAGAAAGCAGGGUGAGUGGUAAUUUCCUUAUUGACAAGGGAAAGCAAGUUAAUGGGUGUCGCAACCAACAUGAUAUGAUCAUAGAUUGGUAGCCCUUUUCAUUUUGCACUGGUUAUCAUCAGGGUUUUGGAUUGAGGUGAACAAUGGCAUCUCCAUGUUUAACUGGGGUUGCUAAAAGACAACAUAUUUAUAAGAAGGAUAUAUACUGAGCUAGGUAUUAUAUUGUCGAAAGAGCUAGAUCUUCCCCCCAUCAGAAACUUCCCAUUUAUAUUUAAAAACGUCGGAAGAAAGAAGAGAAAGUUGCAACAGAUCUUUCUGUCGUAUUUUACUUAUCUUGGGUGCCUAAGUUUGUCCCUCCCCAAUGGAAGAAUGACAGCAUUAUUAUUAUUAUUAUUAUUA
rnacentral:misc_RNA from 1 species